GCCCUCGUAGCUCAGUGGAUCAGAGCAGGAGCCUUCUAAUCUCUUGGUCGCAGGUUCGAAUCCUGCCGGGGGCGCCA
rnacentral:tRNA from 1 species